rnacentral:tRNA from 1 species
UGUUCUGUGGCGUAGUUGGUUAAUGCGCCCUGUCUAACAAAUUAGGAAAUCGUGGGUUCAAAUCCCACCGGAACAA